CCCAGCCUCCCAGCUGGCUCCAGCUUCAACGCUCCAGUCAUUUCCCCGAGAAGACCAGGCUGUGGACGGUCCUGGCAGCAGGUCACCUCCAACGAGAAGCACCUGGAGAGCCUGAAGGGUGCGGGCAGCCUCCUGUGGGCGCUGGAGCGGCUGGCCCCGGCUGGCGGUUCGUCUGCCGACAGUGCGGUGGCCUCCUUGGCCCUGGAAAUCCUCCAAACGGUUGGACACUAGGCGAGAAGGCACCGAACACAGGCCCAACCUCGGCUGCACAGGCAAGGCCAGCCCCCGACACGCUCGGCACCCCAGCCGUCCCCGCGCCCAAUAAAGCCAGCUGACGCCC